UACAGAGGUCUCAAGCGUUUGUUCGGAUUCAUUGGGCGUAAAGGGUGCGUAGGUGGCGCCGCAAGUCGGGUGUGAAAUUUCGGAGCUUAACUCCGAAACUGCAUUCGAUACUGCGGUGCUUUGAGGACUGGAGAGGAGACUGGAAUUCAUGGUGUAGCAGUGAAAUGACGUAGAGAUCAUGAGGAAGACCAGUGGCGAAGGCGGCACUCUGGGCCGAUACUGACACUGGAGGAGCGAAAGCGUGGGGAGCGAACAGG
rnacentral:rRNA from 1 species